GCUAGCGUUGUCCGGAAUCAUUGGGCGUAAAGAGCGUGUAGGCGGUCCGGUAAGUCCGCUGUGAAAGUCGGGGGCUCAACCCUCGAAUGCCGGUGGAUACUGUCGGGCUAGAGUGCGGAAGAGGCGAGUGGAAUUCCUGGUGUAGCGGUGAAAUGCGCAGAUAUCAGGAGGAACACCUAUUGCGAAGGCAGCUCGCUGGGACGUAACUGACGCUGAGACGCGAAAGCGUGGGGAGCAAACAGG
rnacentral:rRNA from 1 species